GAACUAACAAGGAUUCCCCCAGUAAUGGCGAAUGAAGCGGGAACAGCUCAAAUUUGAAAUCUCCGUCGCCUGCGACGGCGAAUUGUAGUUUCGAGAAGCACUUUCUAGGCGGAACCGGCGUCGUCCAAGUUGCUUGGAACAGCACGUCAUAGAGGGUGACAACCCCGUCUGUGGCGGUGCCGGCCGCCGACGAUGCGCUUUCGACGAGUCGGGUUGUUUGGGAAUGCAGCCCAAAAUGGGUGGUAAACUCCAUCUAAAGCUAAAUAUUGGCACGAGACCGAUAGCGAACAAGUACCGUGAGGGAAAGAUGAAAAGCACUUUGAAAAGAGAGUUAAAAAGUACGUGAAACCGUUAAAAGGGAAACGAAUGGGGUUAGCAAUGCGCUCCGCGAGAUUCAGCCUCCCGGCGGGCCGGACGGGCGGUUGGCGGAUCCGAACGGACCGCCGCCGUCCGCCUCGAUCCCUCGGGCGUCGCACUUCUCGCGAGCGCGCGUCAGCGUCGGUUGGGACUGGGUCUCAAAGGCGCCGGGAAGGUAGGUCCGACCCCUCGGGGACGGACUGUUAUAGCCCGGCGUCGUCAUGGCCCGGACCCGACCGAGGUGCCGCGGCGCGUGCCUUUGGCUGGGGACCCGUCGUUCCGGUCGGUCGUCGACUGCGGUGGACUGCGUGCAGUGCGCCGCGACCGCUGCCGGUCGCUCCGGCGGGGACCUCACACCACGCGCCCAGGACGCUGGCGGUCACAUGGCCUCAUCCGACCCGUCUUGAAACACGGACCAAGGAGUCUAACAUGUGCGCGAGUCUUCGAGUGAUCGAAACUCCCGGGCGCAAUGAAAGUGAAGGCGGCCUCGGCCGCCGAGGUGAGAACCCCUCCCGUCCUCGGGCGGGAGGGGCGCAUCAUCGACCGACCUAUUCCACUCUUGGGAAGGUUUGAGUAAGAGCGCACCUGUUGGGACCCGAAAGA
rnacentral:rRNA from 1 species